UAGGGAAUCUUCGGCAAUGGACGAAAGUCUGACCGAGCAACGCCGCGUGAGUGAAGAAGGUUUUUGGAUCGUAAAACUCUGUUGUUAGAGAAGAACAAGGACGUUAGUAACUGAACGUCCCCUGACGGUAUCUAACCAGAAACCCACGGCUAACUACGUGCCAGCACCUGCGGUAAUACGUAGGUGGCAAGCGUUGUCCGGAUUUAUUCUGCGUAAAGCGAGCGCAGGCGGUUUCUUAAGUCUGAUGUGAAAGCCCCCGGCUCAACCGGGGAAGGUCAAUGGAAACUGGGAGAAUUGAGUGCAGAAGAGGGGAGUGGAAUUCCAUGUGUAGCGGUGAAAUGCGUAGAUAGCUGGAGGAACACCAGUGGCGAAGGCGGCUCUCUGGUCUGUAACUGACGCUGAGGCACGAAAGCGAGGGGAGCAAACGGG
rnacentral:rRNA from 1 species